UGAAAUGCAUCAUGGGCACACAGUAG
rnacentral:piRNA from 1 species